CCAGUGUUUCUUGAAUAUUUUCCUUGUUUAACUAGUAGAACCGAACGUACAAGUGCAUCAGAAGACUAAGCGAGAGUUUUGUGUAGAAAUGCUCUGUUUACGGGAAGUUAUUUUGCAUUCGCAAGCGUCAACAAAACUGCCGCAUCAAGUUCACAGAUUUUAAACUACCCGUAUUUGUAUAGAAUAUAUGUUAGUUGUAUUAACAUUGAACUUCUUUCUGUUUGAACCCAAAUUUGUACUUGUUUUGCGUUUGACAAGG